UACGAAGGGGGCUAGCGUUGCUCGGAAUCACUGGGCGUAAAGCGCACGUAGGCGGCUUUUUAAGUCAGAGGUGAAAUCCUGGAGCUCAACUCCAGAACUGCCUUUGAUACUGGAAAGCUUGAGUUCGGGAGAGGUGAGUGGAACUGCGAGUGUAGAGGUGAAAUUCGUAGAUAUUCGCAAGAACACCAGUGGCGAAGGCGGCUCACUGGCCCGAUACUGACGCUGAGGUGCGAAAGCGCGGGGAGCAAACAGG
rnacentral:rRNA from 1 species